rnacentral:lncRNA from 1 species
UGGGGCUCAUUAGGCAGAGCGGGGUGCGGAGAGGUGCCCGCCGCCGGCCACGGAGGCCGCCUUUGAGCAGUCGGGGCGGCUUCAUUAAGCGGCGCUAACAAGGCAUACAAAUGCCGGGCCCAGCAGCUUUCUUGCAAUGCCGGGGCCUUAGCAGGGCGCCCGGCUAAUGAGGGUCACUCAAAGGGGCUGAUCAAAUAUUCAAAUUUCCCCGCACGCCGGGAACUUUUAUGUGCGGAGAAAGUUGAGGCAACUGAGCUGUGUUUACUGUCCCG